CCCUUAGAUGUUCUGGGCCGCACGCGUGCUACACUGAACGGUUCAAUGGGUAAGGUAGUGCGAAAGCAUGACCUAAUCUCGAAAUCCGUUCGUGCUGGGGAUAGAAGCUUGCAAUUAUCCUUCUUGAACGAGGAAUACCUUGUAAGCGUGAGUCAUCAUCUCACGCUGAAUACGUCCCUGCCCUUUGUACACACCGCCCGUCGCUCCUACCGAUUGAGUGUUCCGGUGAGGCUUUAGGAGAAUGGCCUCAACAUGAGUUUAUCGUGUUUUGCCGUUUGAACUUAGUCAAACCUUAUCACUUAGAGGAAGGAGAAGUCGUAACA
rnacentral:rRNA from 1 species